CCCAUGAUCUACUUUGGCCUUAUUAUUGUUGAUUUUGUCCACAUCCAUAGCAGUGCAACUUAUUUGUUCUUGAUCUUCAUCUUCAUCUUCUUGUUCUUGGUCUUUCNNNNNNNNNNNNACUGGACUUAACCUCAAGAGGGGUAGGGCUUCUCUGAGAGGAGGAGAAGGAGGUCGGUUUUGACAGUGAAAAUAAGGAGUCUGAAUUUGGUUGGUGGUAAAGGGAUUUGUAUAGGAAAGUUGUGGAUUAGUACUCGCUGGUGUUGGAUUCAGAGAUGGGUAUUGGUGAUAAAGAGGGUUAUUAUUGAACUUGAACCAACCAGUGAAGAAAUUUGAGUAAGGGUCAGCCAUGGUUGAAAAGGU
rnacentral:misc_RNA from 1 species